rnacentral:rRNA from 1 species
GGGAAUGCCAUGGAAGUGGCUGGGGUAAGACGGAGGGUCCGAGGGUUAAUUGGGAAUACUGUGAGGAAAGCGUUAGCAGGCGGUUUGUGAAGCGAGAUGUGAAAGCCCUGGGCUCAAGCUAGGAAUAGCAUUUCGAACUGGCGAACUAGAGUCUUGUAGAGGGGGGUAGAAUUCCAGGUGUAGCGGUGGAAUGCGUAGAGAUCUGGAGGAAUACCGGUGGCGAAGGCGGCCCCCUGGACAAAGACUGACGCUCAGGUGUGAAAGCGUGGGGAGCAAACAGGAUUAGAUACCCUGGUAGUC